UUGAUGAAAGGAUAGUAACCCUCACUGGGGGUGGUUUGGGUAAAAGUUCCAGUUUGCUGAGACACAUGUUGACCUCCUCCUGUAGUUCUGGCCCAGUGGUUGACAACACAGAAAGCACCUGACAACAAAGCAAACAACAAACUGGCAUCCUGUAAAUGAGUAAUACAUCUACUAUAAGCAGUGUCAGCUAUUGUAGAAUAUCCACCAGAUUUAGCCACUUAAUAAGACAAGCUCUCCCUGCUGAUACUUGUUACUUCCUGCAUCCCAUAUAUGAAUAUCCAUAUGUAGGUAAAUUAUAAAAAUAAACCGAAGCCAGUAAAAAUGGCUUGUAAGGGAUCUUUAGUAAUAAUGUUAUGCACAUUAUACUGUAACGAAUUGCUGUAAAAACUACAGCGUUAUUUUACAGAAGCUGACUGUUUUUUAAAUAAUACAGAAUAUUGCUGUAAAGUGCAAUGCAUUCUGGAGUCACGUGACGGAUUAACUCGAAUGUACAGAAUAUUGCUGUAAAUUUCAAAUCUACAAUGGCGGGAUGACCUUCAACAGUCGAGAUUGGGGUAGUGCGCAAAAUGAGUGAUUCACACCUGUGGUAAGUGACUUAUUACGUUUUUUUUCCAUAUUUGGUAACUAUACUGGUAAUGUUAUAUAGAGGUAUCUACAUUCGCGUUUCAUAUUGGUAACCCCGGAUUCAACCUCCAUCUGCGGGGACCGAAGGAGUCUUGCGCGGGGUUUCAGCAGCGCCGUCGCGGUAAGAUUUCAAACAUUCUCCGUCGCUAUAGCACCUGAGGACAGAAGUUGUUCAAGUUAUUUUGAGUUUUUGUACACACCAGGAGCGAAGGCGGUAUGUGACGAGCUACAGUUCAUUGUAUUAGUAAAUUGACGGGUUUUUUUUAUGUUGAACAUCGCGCCCGCCAUAGACACGGUGAAAGUUACAUGCUUCGACUGUUGGGAUUCACAGGAACUUAGUGUUGAAAACCACACUCGGUCGUGAUUAUUUUGUGGUGUAAUUCAAAUUUGCAAAUGCAGUUAUCCGUUAAAUCGAGCGCCCAAAUUAAAACGAGUCACCAAAGCUUCCGGUAAAUCGAUGUUUACGGAGGAUAGCCCGGAUAAGUGAUUAAUGUACGUAACCAGCAAGAUAUACAGUAUAUGUAACGGAGGCUAUCUGAGAGCUGUAGCAAAAGACGUUAGCGACACCUUCAUCGUUAGAGCAGGCCUGUCCACCAAAUAGGACCGUUGGAGGGUGGGAGUGAGACGGCCCGUUACAAAUACCAGUGUGAUAAUUUCUUGACCGUGACAUCCCUAACGUUAGUUGGCUUACAUUUCUGUAUAAGUACGGUUUUAAGUGUAAGUUACUCUGUGUAAUUUGCUUAGAGUUUGUUUGAAGAGUCACUUAUACUAAAAUGUAGUUUAAAUGUAAAAAGCUUAAAGAUAAAAGUCUAAAGUAACUAUUAACUAUCGUCACAUGUGGUAUUGUUUGUUUUAGGACACACUUGCAGGCCACGGGAUGCUGUCUACUGAAGGUUAGGUUGUGUGUGACGGUGUUCAGCACAGCUUCAUGUCUGGGCUUCCCACUCUGUUCAUAGCAUGUUACAUAUUCAUUCUUGAGUACCAGGAUGGGGCAGCGUGUAUCUUGGAGUCCACUGAAAGAUAUUAAUCCAGAGAGUGGAACAAGAAGAAGCGUCAUCUAAAAUGCCAGGAUACAGAAGAAACCGGUUGCAGUGAACCCACAUGUUGCCGCUCUUCUAAACACAAUGAUGAACUUUCAGUGUAAUCGAUCAAAAUUCUAGCUACUUGUUGUGCUCUGAUGGAUCAAGAUGUGGACCGUUUUAUAGACACACUUGGGCCUUGUUUUGCGAUGUUGUUACAUGAUGGUUAUGUUGGUUAACGUGUUGUUUAAACAUUCAUUGUUUAAAGAGCCAUGUUGGCUACUAUGAA